GAUGAACGCUGGCGGCGUGCCUAAUACAUGCAAGUCGAGCGAAUGGAUUAAGAGCUUGCUCUUAUGAAGUUAGCGGCGGACGGGUGAGUAACACGUGAGUAACCUGCCCAUAAGACUGGGAUAACUCCGGGAAACCGGGGCUAAUACCGGAUAACAUUUUGAACCGCAUGGUUCGAAAUUGAAAGGCGGCUUCGGCUGUCUCUUAUGGAUUGACCCGCGUCGCAUUAGCUAGUUGGUGAGGUAACGGCUCAGCAAGGCAACGAUGCGUAGCCGACCUGAGAGGGUGAUCGGCCACACUGGGACUGAGACACGGCCCAGACUCCUACGGGAGGCAGCAGUAGGGAAUCUUCCGCAAUGGACGAAAGUCUGACGGAGCAACGCCGCGUGAGUGAUGAAGGCUUUCGGGUCGUAAAACUCUGUUGUUAGGGAAGAACAAGUGCUAGUUGAAUAAGCUGGCACCUUGACGGUACCUAACCAGAAAGCCACGGCUAACUACGUGCCAGCCGCCGCAGUAA
rnacentral:rRNA from 1 species